UGGUGAUAUUCAUAAAAGAUUGUGAUUAUUUGGGGUUGGGGUAGGAAAAUCCCACUAGAAUAUCAAGGGCAAGAGUGGGAAGGACCAUGUGGGAAAUGCACACUGGGCAGUGAGAAACAAAAGGUAUCAGUUAUGCAGUUCUUAGUGGCUUUCCCAUGACAUUGUAAAUACAGAAUUUUAAAAAGAAAAGAAAGGCUUUUGUAAAAGUGGAGGAAGCAGUGGUCUUCCAGCCUGAAGGUGCCCCCUACCCCAGAAAUGAGGUGGAAAUGGGGGAUCAGUGUUGAAGAAUAUCAACUUUGUCUCCUAGAAUGAAUGUCCACAUCCAUUCCAGAUGAUCUGCCUGGAGAAAGCAUUUGGACUUGAAUUUAGAUAGAAGUUGAAACCAUUGAACUUGAAGUAUUAAGUUGAAUGUUUAAACCAUUGGUUUCAAAGCAAGAACCACUAUGAACUGUUCAAUAGUGCAGUGUCUUUGGAAGCAGAAUUAAGUGAAAACACCAGCUUCGCUUUUCUCGGAAGCUCUGAGUAAUGUCCAGUGU
rnacentral:lncRNA from 1 species